UCGGCUGAUGUCUGACACACCACACCUCGGGGCUUUCAUCACCUCCACAGUCUCUUUAUUCAAGACGCCAGUCACCUAGUGGUCAGACGAUGACAUGAGUGUUCUCUUUUUGAUAACCUUCUGAUGUGUGCUGACCACAGUCCAGUUUGGCGGCGUUGACCCUCUUCGGGAUUCCAGGCCAGUCUGUCUGGAUGAGUCUGGGGAAGCCCGGGUCCAUCCGUCUCUUGCGUUCAUCAUACCUGAGGUUGGAUCAUUCAUAUUCGCUUGUUUUGUUCAUCCAGUUCAUACUAGAAUUUUUUUCCCCGUUUGGGUAUGGACAUUGUUACCUGCUAGAGUGCAAACGUCUUUUGAUGUCUGUUAUUUCAUGCAUGCUCAUUUACCCAAUGUGAUGAGAUGUUGAUAAUGUAUCCAAUAAUUUUGAGUUAAUAUUAGUUCAUAUUAAUGAAUUAUUUUGACACUAUGUUCAUAUUCGAUUGCUUUUUUUUGUCGCUCACAUUACAAUAAACUGAUAAUCUUUUGGUUCUGGACUGUUAGUCAAAAGAAGACGUUUGAAGACGUCACUGGGGCUUUAAGAAAUUGUGAGGGACAUUUUCACUAUUUUCUGACAUUUUAUAGACCAAAACUUUCAUAGAAUAAUCAAGAGAAUGAUUGAUCGAUUCAUAGAUGAUGAAAAUAAUCAUUAGCUGCAGCCCUAGAUUAAUUUGCUUAGUAUGGCAUUGAAACUGAAUGAGCAUGAAAAAGCCUCAUUAGGUGGCUGUUUGAUAUUGGAAUAUUUUCUCUCACUUCAUCUGUAACUUCUCCUGUUUUUUUAUUUGCUUGUAUGUGAUUUUUUUUUUUUUAUGUGAAGCAAGUUGGCCUUUAAAAAAGGGUAACUGUAAUAAAAAUCUCCUGU